AACAUGUCUCAGACUUUGUUAAAAUAUGGUGAUAAUUAAAAAACAAAAUUACCACUACAAAGUUAAUUCCUCUCUGAGUUCUUACAAACAAGUUUUUAAUUUGCACCAAAAAUUUACAUUUCAGAUUUCAAGUCAACCAGGAAUGGUAGGAGCUUGGUCAGGGACUCCAGGCAGUGGCUGGUGGGUUCUGCAAGGCCUAGGGGCAGGAGCACUGCAGAUUCCCCAGAAUAUCACAAGCAUAUAGUUGCCAGCAAACCCCAGGUGCACACAGAAUCAAUCUGGAGCUGAAAACAUCCCCGUAGGAAGUGUACACAUCCCUGCUUAUACAGGAACAGAAACAGCAAUAACUUCAGGUCCUGUAAGCUGCAAGUUCAACUCACAGAGAUGAGCCCUGACUUGUCAUCGCUCUCAGCGUGUUGGUGAUGAGAUCAGAGCACUUCACCAAGGACUCAUACUUCCAGCUUGACAAGGGACACAGGAAUGAAGUUGGCACUAGAGACAGUGCACGGGGAAUGGCUGUGAGAGGAGGCAGGCACUGCUACACUUCCAGAGCAAAGAUCCAACAAUCCAGAGUAAGGAGGUGGCAGCAAGGACAUUGCCGGGUAGAAGGGCAAAGAUGGACAGAUGAUGUCAGCUGUCCAGGAGAAUCUGAACACGUCACGUCCAGCGUGUCCCGCAUCUCCGGCUGAGAACUGCGCCCGUGGCUCUUGCCUGGGGAAGUGAAUGCGCCACCACAAAAACCCGCCGGAAAACCAAGAGAGGAGAAGGAUGGUAGAGGGGAACGGGAGAGACUCGCUGUCAGAGCGGCAUUGCCUCCACAACCAAAUGGAACCAUUUCAAACACAAGAAGGGAGAGGGCUUCGCUCAUGCCAGCCUGACCCACGAGCAAGCCUGCAAAGUCCAUUUCCAGUGGGAAAGCUCCAAGUUAACUCAGCCCUGGCAGCGCCAGGCCAUCCUACCCCACCUUGAGUGUACAGUGUCCAGUUCAAGUUUCAGCAAGCAUCUGUCAGAGUUAUUUUUGCAAGUCAAAUUACACAGAUCUAAAGAGAAGUCAGGCGACAGGACAAGGAGAUCAAUUGAAACCCCUCAUCUGAUAAAGCAUCCUAUUCAUAAUUGCCUACAUUAAAAUAAACGAGUAUUAAUUUUUGGCAACACAAAACCAGAGGACUGUGAUAAGCUUGCCUGAACUUGCCUCUGGGACACAGUGGACGCAUCUUCUCUUUUUAAUUAGUAGCAAUCAGACAUGAGGGUUGUUUGAUGGUGUUGGUCGAGUGAUGAAUCUGUAUUAUUCAGUGCAUCUUAACAGUAGUGUCAAUUUUUCUACUUCAAACAAGACUCUUUCCCUAACACUGUUCUGCUCUAUUUAAUUACUAUUCUGCCAGACUUAGGCUUGUUGCUUAGGACAAUGACCAAAAAACACCACUGUGCACCCCUAAUGUGCUGAUUUUUUAGCAUUUCUCUCUAAAAAUACCUCUGAAACUAGCAAAGCUAAGGCUUCGAUUCCUCAGACAUAGCACAGGACCUGUUUCAUGUACUUAACUACAUGAAGCCACGGCCACGUACCAGGUCAGAGACUGCACCCAGAGUAACCAAAUCUUAACUCCAUCCUCUUAACUACGGAGGUCCCUGUGCUCAAUCCGCAUCUUCUCAAACCUAAGUUUUACAACAUAACCAAAUUUGUAACAUUUGAUGGCUGCUUUUGGUAGGGUUUUUUUUUCCCUUCAGAAAGGAAAAGAAAGUGGAGCUUCUUGGCCAUCAGAAAGAAGGGAAAUUCUGGGUUAACUCUUGACAUUUACUAUUAAUGAGGAGCCAGAAGCAUUUAAACAGAACCCAAUUUGUUUUAACUAAGCAUUUGUGUGAUGCUGGGAAGGUAUGGGGCUUUUUUGUUGUUUUUUUUAAUUACUGAAUGUUGAAACAGAACACCUCCUUGAAGCAUUCAUGUGCAUCAGUCUAUCAAACCAUUUACUCAAAUUAAAUGUGUAAUCCUUCAAAA